CAAAGAACAUGCGUGCCAGGACUAGGGAGGAUGCACCCAGUGCGCAUGCGUGAAGAGCAGGCGCCACCGCCAUUCAGAAAAGAGGCGUGUUCGCAUGGUAACAGUGUAGCGCGCAGUUUACAGUGACUUUUCGCUUCCAGAGAGAGCAUAUAUGUUGCCACGAGAGGACAACCUUCAGCCCUGUAAUGUAAAUCUGUGGAAUUCCUCAUGAGACUGGGUCCGUUCUCUUUGCUGUGCAGAGCCCCAUCAUCAGUCCACUCACCCCAUGCUAGGAGAGCUUUAAUCUUCAGAGGCACCCUUGGAAGAGGACUUGGACACCUGGAUGAUCUCCACAGAGGUGAAGCCUUUCCCCACUGAGGCACGGUUCCUGGUUCUCAGCUUGUUCAGCGCCAUCUCAGCCAUGUCUGCUCUCUCCUCCGCGUCGUCGAGUUCGUGCACCGUCUUCCUGUACUUGGACAAGCUAGUGUUUGCCUGCUCUUCCUGCAGAGGAGCAGUAACAAUCAGAGACCAUUUCAGGACUAAUGACCCAAGACUCGAAGCUUCACACUUGAUAGCUUUUUACUGACCGCGUCUUCGAUCUGCCUCUUGUAGGCCUUGAGUUUACUUUGCAGUCUCUCCACUAGCUCCUGCAAGCGGUGGUUAGUCUUGUGGUCUUCCUCAGUCUGGAAGAUCAGUUCCUUGAGGCGUCGCUCAUGUUUCCGCAGGUCCUUCACCGUUUCUACGUGGCGCUUCUGCUCCGUGUCCAGGUCUGUCUCCAGCUCCUUGAUCUGCACACGACAGCAAGGUGUGUCUCAAGCGAAUCAACUUCAUUUGUGCACGCAGUGCUCCUGCUCCUGGCGCAGUUCCUCCGCCAUGCGGGUAGCCUGGGAAUGACACAUAGCCAGCAGUGAGUCAGCAGCGAGGACCUACCAGGUGCCCUCAGAAGGAACCGGGAGAGCCGUGAACGGGCCACUUGCAUCAG